CCUACGGGGGGCUGCAGUGGGGAAUAUUGGGCAAUGGGCGCAAGCCUGACCCAGCAACGCCGCGUGAAGGAAGAAGGCUUUCGGGUUGUAAACUUCUUUUCUCAGGGACGAAGCAAGUGACGGUACCUGAGGAAUAAGCCACGGCUAACUACGUGCCAGCAGCCGCGGUAAUACGUAGGUGGCAAGCGUUAUCCGGAUUUACUGGGUGUAAAGGGCGUGUAGGCGGGACUGCAAGUCAGAUGUGAAAACCACGGGCUCAACCUGUGGCCUGCAUUUGAAACUGUAGUUCUUGAGUUCUGGAUGGCAGGAGAGGUAAGUUGAAUUCCUAGUGUAGCGGUGAAAUGCGUAGAUAUUAGGAGGAACACCAGUGGCGAAGGCGGCUUGCUGGACGGUAACUGACGUUGAGGCUCGAAAGCGUGGGGAGCAAACAGGAUUAGAUACCCCAGUAGUC
rnacentral:rRNA from 1 species